ACCUGCGGAGGGAUCAUUACUGAGUUACCGCUCUAUAACCCUUUGUGAACAUACCUAACCGUUGCUUCGGCGGGCAGGGGAAGCCUCUCGCGGGCCUCCCCUCCCGGCGCCGACCCCACCACGGGGACGGGGCGCCCGCCGGAGGAAACCAAACUCUAUUUACACGACGUCUCUUCUGAGUGGCACAAGCAAAUAAUUAAAACUUUUAACAACGGAUCUCUUGGUUCUGGCAUCGAUGAAGAACGCAGCGAAAUGCGAUAAGUAAUGUGAAUUGCAGAAUUCAGUGAAUCAUCGAAUCUUUGAACGCACAUUGCGCUCGCCAGCAUUCUGGCGAGCAUGCCUGUUCGAGCGUCAUUUCAACCCUCAAGCACCGCUUGGUUUUGGGGCCCCACGGCACACGUGGGCCCUUAAAGGUAGUGGCGGACCCUCCCGGAGCCUCCUUUGCGUAGUAACUAACGUCUCGCACUGGGAUCCGGAGGGACUCUUGCCGUAAAACCCCCCAAUUCUUUACAGGUUGACCUCGGAUCAGGUAGGAAUACCCGCUGAACUUAAGCAUAUCAAU
rnacentral:rRNA from 1 species